rnacentral:lncRNA from 1 species
GUAAUGUCUGUUGAGUGCGUGAACCACGGGUGGGCCUCGGUCUCCGUGGGCACGAUGGACCCAUUGAGAGAAGCGGCACGCACGUAGGAGGCACUGUGCCGUGGCGGGCCUCGAGGGAGAAGAUCUGGCUCGAGGUGGCAGGACACCCAGAAGUCCGGGCUGCUGUGAGGUCGAGGCCCCAGGGAAGUUGGGCUGAGCAUGGUCCGCUCAGGUCUCGUGUAAAUCACUCAGGAGCCUCGAUGGUGUGAGUACUCUUAGCAGAGACCAGGACCAGAGUGAGGUGAGUGGUUCAGGGUACAAAUAAAGGUCCCCUCGAACCAUUUCGGGAAUCAAGUGUGGAGACGGAAGCCCGACACAUGUGUCCACGUGGGCCAAGCCUAGGAUUAUGUGCAGCCACACGCCCCCUCAUCUGGCAUCCAGUCCACCGCCUCUUGGUCAAGAUUCCUCGAAGGCCACGGGCACCUCUAGUAGCCAGAGCCGAAAGGCCUCCCCGACCCUCAUUCCCUGACACCCUGGGCUGUUCCAGACCUUAGAGUGGGCCC